AUGGAGGAUUUUGUUUCAUGGCACUACAACAAAACGGGGUUUUUCUCGGUUAAGACGGCAUACCACAUGGAGUGGGAUUACCAACAUGGACGAAAGUUGAGACAAACAAAUACCAUAUUGUCUUCAAGUACUAGUCCAGUUUGGCGCACUCUUUGGAAACUUCAAAUACCGGCAAAGAUCAAGGUGCAUGUUUGGAGAGCUUUGUAUGGUGCAAUCCCUUGUCGGGGAGUCCUGGCCAAUCGACAUAUGAUAACAAUCUCCGACUGCCCGAUAUGUGCCACGGAUUGUGAGAGUAUUCGUCAUUCUUUCUUUAGAUGCAACAGAGUGCAAGAGAUUUGGGCAAAAUUGGGCUUUCUUCCCACCGUAAGUGAGCUGUGCGAAACUGAGAUGGAGGGAUCUUCGCUCCUUGGUGACCUGUUGUUAAUGCCAAGCGUUGAUGUUCCGUCGCUCCCGGGUGUGCCCAUGAAGGAGCUGGUGGCUGUGGCGGUUUGGGCAAGGAAGCAUGGUGCGGGCAGGAUAGGAAGACAUGGAUGGACGAGACAAAUAAAGGGAUUUGUUAGCCUCAAUAUCGACGCCUUUUUUGAUGCUGACAGUGGCACCAACGGGACUGGGGCCAUCAUAUGGGACUCUACAGGUUCUUUCGUUGCGGCAUCCACGAGCAACAUCCCGUUUGUCCAAGAUGCGGCGACAGCCGAGGCACGGGGCCUCAAGGAUGGGCUGGUUCUGGCAAACACCAUCGGCUGCAACAAGGUGGAGAUCAGGGCGGAUUGUAUGGAGGUCAUCCAGAUAAUGCAAGACGGAGGCAAUUCCUUAGGACCAGCUGCAGCCAUCUAUGAGGAGUGUACUUUCUUGUGUCGUAAUUUUAUCUCUGUUAGUUUCUGUCAUUGUCCUAGGGAAGCUAAUAUGGCGGCUGAUCUUUUGGCUACUAAGUCGGAGCCCUCACGAACUAUUGUGUGGCAGAACGAGGCUCCAGACUUUCUGCUCGAUAUAAUCACAAAUGAUGUAGCCCUAUUUUCACAUGAAAUAUAA
rnacentral:rRNA from 1 species